GCGGGGGUAGCCUAGCCCAGAUAGGGCGAGAGACUGAUAACCUCUGCAAUCCUUGCGGUUGUCGUGGGUUCGAAUCCCAUCCCCCGCG
rnacentral:tRNA from 1 species